AUUGCCAGACUUGUUUAUUUUAAUGACCUCUUCAAGCACAAUUCUCAUCUGGCUGAUUAGCUUUCCAACAUGCUCCUAAACAAAGAGAAAUCAGUCAUUCUUCAGAAGUUGACUUUUCCCCUCCUGGGCACCUCAUGAUCAGAAGGUAAUAGAGAUCUGUUCAUUCCUACCCGCCCCCGCCUCCUGCCUUGCAAAUCAUCACAAGCAUCCAUCAUUAUAUGAAGCACUUAAAUUGACAGUACUUUUCUCCUAGCUCCUUAAUGAAAUAGACAAUUCAAGUAUGGUUAUACCCAUUUUCCAGACAGUCCAGAAAAUACAAUGUUUCAUGUGACUCCUCUCAAGGGCCUGCUUAGGGUCCCAUGACCAUGGGGCUGCUUCAGUUUUGAAACAGACCAUGAUGUGAAAGGAAGAGCAAGGAGGAGAAAACCCCAAAGCACCACCACCUCCUCUAGACUUCAGCUGUGCUCAAGCAAGAGAGACUGAGUGGAGCCACAAUAGGAACAAAAGCAGCAGGAACAAACUGAGGAUAUUUAAACAGCUGGAGCAAAAAGCCCAAGUUAACCCUGAGAAAGGAGUAGGAGUCUGGAAAAAAGGGGAAUUCUUCUGGCACAAUACUGGAAAGCACUCUGGAUUUGAACUCACAAGACCUGGAUCUAAGCCCCAGACCAGAAUCCCUUGCUGUCAUGUUUUGCUCAUUUGUGAAAUGGGAAUGAUAUACUACACUAUCUUCCAGG